UACGGGGGGGGGUAAGCGUUGUUCGGAAUUACUGGGCGUAAAGGGCUCGUAGGCGGCCAACUAAGUCAGACGUGAAAUCCCUCGGCUUAACCGGGGAACUGCGUCUGAUACUGGAUGGCUUGAGAUUGGGAGAGGGAUGCGGAAUUCCAGGUGUAGCGGUGAAAUGCGUAGAUAUCUGGAGGAACACCGGUGGCGAAGGCGGCAUCCUGGACCAAUACUGACACUGAGGAGCGAAAGCCAGGGGAGCAAACGGG
rnacentral:rRNA from 1 species